rnacentral:rRNA from 1 species
CUGCAUGGAGCCGGCCUUGAAAUACCACCCUUUAAUGUUUGAUGUUCUAACGUGGACCCGUGAUCCGGGUUGCGGACAGUGUCUGGUGGGUAGUUUGACUGGGGCGGUCUCCUCCUAAAGAGUAACGGAGGAGCACGAAGGUUGGCUAAUCCUGGUCGGACAUCAGGAGGUUAGUGCAAUGGCAUAAGCCAGCUUGACUGCGAGCGUGACGGCGCGAGCAGGUGCGAAAGCAGGUCAUAGUGAUCCGGUGGUUCUGAAUGGAAGGGCCAUCGCUCAACGGAUAAAAGGUACUCCGGGGAUAACAGGCUGAUACCGCCCAAGAGUUCAUAUCGACGGCGGUGUUUGGCACCUCGAUGUCGGCUCAUCACAUCCUGGGGCUGAAGUAGGUCCCAAGGGUAUGGCUGUUCGCCAUUUAAAGUGGUACGCGAGCUGGGUUUAGAACGUCGUGAGACAGUUCGGUCCCUAUCUGCCGUGGGCGCUGGAGAACUGAGGGGGGCUGCUCCUAGUACGAGAGGACCGGAGUGGACGCAUCACUGGUGUUCGGGUUGUCAUGCCAAUGGCACUGCCCGGUAGCUAAAUGCGGAAGAGAUAAGUGCUGAAAGCAUCUAAGCACGAAACUUGCCCCGAGAUGAGUUCUCCCUGACCCUUUAAGGGUCCUGAAGGAACGUUGAAGACGACGACGUUGAUAGGCCGGGUGUGUAAGCGCAGCGAUGCGUUGAGCUAACCGGUACUAAUGAACCGUGAGGCUUAACCUUACAACGCCGAAG